rnacentral:rRNA from 12 species
GCAUGCUUGUCGGAGUGUCU